rnacentral:rRNA from 1 species
GACAGAGGUGCCGAGCGUUAGGCGGAAUCACUGGGCUUAAAGCGUGUGUAGGCGGACCGUUAAGUACCUUGUGAAAUCCCCCGGCUCAACCGGGGAACGGCUGGGUAUACUGGCGGUCUUGAGCCAUCCAGGGGCAGUCGGAACAGACGGUGGAGCGGUGAAAUGCGUAGAUAUCGUCUGGAACGCCGAAGGUGAAAACAGAACUGCUGGGGAUGCGCUGACGCUGAGACACGAAAGCCAGGGGAGCGGAACGGGA